CAAGAAAUAGUUUAAUUAAGAAUGCUAGCUUUGGGGGUUAGCGGUGGAGGUUGAAAUCCUUCUUUUUUGA
rnacentral:tRNA from 1 species